GCGGACUGCUCACUGCGGGCCCCGGACGAGGGAGCUGUACCCGGGAAGGCGACAAGACGGCCAGA
rnacentral:ncRNA from 1 species